UACGUAGGGUGCGAGCGUUAUCCGGAAUGAUUGGGCGUAAAGCGUCCGCAGGUGGCUGUGUAAGUCUGCUGUUAAAGAGUCUAGCUCAACUAGAUACAAGCAGUGGAAACUACACGGCUAGAGUACGUUCGGGGCAGAGGGAAUUCCUGGUGUAGCGGUGAAAUGCGUAGAGAUCAGGAAGAACACCGGUGGCGAAGGCGCUCUGCUAGGCCGUAACUGACACUGAGGGACGAAAGCUAGGGGAGCGAAUGGG
rnacentral:rRNA from 1 species